rnacentral:rRNA from 1 species
GUGGGGAAUAUUGCGCAAUGGGGGAAACCCUGACGCAGCGACGCCGCGUGAGUGAUGAAGGCCUUCGGGUCGUAAAGCUCUGUUGCAGGGGAAUAAAAAAAUGAAGGUACCCUGUGAGGAAGGAUCGGCUAACUUCGUGCCAGCAGCCGCGGUAAGACGAGGGAUCCUAGCGUUGCUCGGAAUCAUUGGGCGUAAAGAGGGCGUAGGUGGCUUGGUAAGUCAGGUGUGAAAGCCCAGGGCUCAACCCUGGAAGUGCAUUUGAUACUGCUGAGCUUGAGUGUCGGAGAGGUUACCGGAAUACCUGGUGUAGUGGUGAAAUACGUAGAUAUCAGGUGGAACACCGGAGGCGAAGGCGGGUAACUGGACGAACACUGACACUGAGGCCCGAAAGCGUGGGGAUCAAACAGGAUUAGAAACCCCGGUAGUCC